rnacentral:rRNA from 1 species
AGAGUUUGAUCCUGGCUCAGGACUAACGCUGGCGGUAUGCCUUAGACAUGCAAGUCGAACGAGUUUCCGGGCUUGCUCGGAAACUAGUGGCGAACGGCUGAGUAACGCGUAGGUGACCUACCCCGUAGUGUGGAAUAACUGCCCGAAAGGGUAGCUAAUACCGCAUGUUGAGCCGACAUCAAUGUCGUCUCCAAAGCAGAAAUGCGCUAUGGGCGGGGCCUGCGUUCGAUUAGCUAGUUGGUGGGGUAAUGGCUCACCAAGGCGACGAUCGAUAGGUGGUCUGAGAGGACGAUCACCCAGACUGGGACUGAGACACGGCCCAGACUCCUACGGGAGGCAGCAGUCGGGAAUUUUGCGCAAUGGGGGAAACCCUGACGCAGCAAUACCGCGUGUGGGAUGAAGGCCUUCGGGUCGUAAACCACUUUUUUCGGGGACGAUAAUGACGGUACCCGAAGAAUAAGCCACGGCUAACUACGUGCCAGCAGCCGCGGUAAUACGGGAGUGGCAAGCGUUAUCCGGAAUUAUUGGGCGUAAAGCGUCCGCAGGCGGCCUCGUAAGUCUGUCGUUAAAGCGUGGAGCUUAACUCCAUUUCAGCGAUGGAAACUGUGAGGCUAGAGCGUGGUAGGGGCAGAGGGAAUUCCCGGUGUAGCGGUGAAAUGCGUAGAUAUCGGGAAGAACACCAGUGGCGAAGGCGCUCUGCUGGGCCAUAACUGACGCUCAUGGACGAAAGCCAGGGGAGCGAAAGGGAUUAGAUACCCCUGUAGUCCUGGCCGUAAACGAUGAACACUAGGUGUCGGGGGAAUCGACCCCCUCGGUGUCGUAGCCAACGCGUUAAGUGUUCCGCCUGGGGAGUACGCACGCAAGUGUGAAACUCAAAGGAAUUGACGGGGGCCCGCACAAGCGGUGGAGUAUGUGGUUUAAUUCGAUGCAACGCGAAGAACCUUACCAGGGUUUGACAUCCUGCGAAUCCCUUGGAAACGAGGGAGUGCCUUCGGGAGCGCAGAGACAGGUGGUGCAUGGCUGUCGUCAGCUCGUGUCGUGAGAUGUUGGGUUAAGUCCCGCAACGAGCGCAACCCACGUCUUUAGUUGCCAGCAUUCAGUUGGGCACUCUAGAGAGACCGCCGGUGAUAAACCGGAGGAAGGUGUGGAUGACGUCAAGUCAUCAUGCCCCUUACAUCCUGGGCUACACACGUACUACAAUGCUACGGACAAAGGGCAGCAAACUCGCGAGAGCUAGCAAAUCCCAUAAACCGUGGCUCAGUUCAGAUCGUAGGCUGCAACUCGCCUACGUGAAGGAGGAAUCGCUAGUAAUCGCAGGUCAGCAUACUGCGGUGAAUACGUUCCCGGGCCUUGUACACACCGCCCGUCACACCAUGGAAGUUGGCCACGCCCGAAGUCGUUACUCCAACCCUUGUGGAGGAGGACGCCGAAGGUGGGGCUGAUGACUGGGGUGAAGUCGUAACAAGGUAGCCGUAA